rnacentral:lncRNA from 1 species
UAGGGGAGGCUAGGGAUAGCAAGCCAGUAGUUAAUAUUAGGCUCUUUUCGCCGAGGGAUUGGGUUAAGGGGAGGCUAAGAAAGUCGCAUAACAAUUAAUUAAUCAAACUAAUAUUCAAGAGGAGUAGAUAAGAGAGGGCGGAUUAGAUGAAAUUGUAAACCCCCAACAACAUCCAUUCAUCCAUUGUUUUCUUUUUUUCAAUUGAAUCAACUUUAUUUUGCAUGUUAAUAUUUUUUUUCUCAAAUCCAAUUUAAUAAUU